rnacentral:rRNA from 1 species
CCCGCACAAGCGGCGGAGCAUGCGGAUUAAUUCGAUGCGACGCGAAGAACCUUACCAAGGCUUGACAUACACCGGUAACGCCCAGAGAUGGGUGCCCCUUUGUGGUCGGUGUACAGGUGGUGCAUGGUUGUCGUCAGCUCGUGUCGUGAGAUGUUGGGUUAAGUCCCGCAACGAGCGCAACCCUCGUCCUAUGUUGCUAGCGGGUCAUGCCGGGGACUCAUGGGAGACUGCCGGGGUCAACUCGGAGGAAGGUGGGGAUGACGUCAAAUCAUCAUGCCCCUUAUGUCUUGGGCUUCACGCAUGCUACAAUGGCCGGUACAAAGGGCUGCGAUACCGCGAGGUGGAGCGAAUCCCAGAAAGCCGGUCUCAGUUCGGAUUGGGGUCUGCAACUCGACCCCAUGAAGUCGGAGUCGCUAGUAAUCGCAGAUCAGCAACGCUCGCGGUCCGAAUACGUUCCGGCCUU